rnacentral:sRNA from 2 species
UUGCAUUUGAAGCCCAUGAGGAUGAGAACCUCCGGGGGCGGGGAGGUUCGACUCGAGCGAAGCGAGAGAACGUUGCGCCAGCAACGGCCCGCAGG